rnacentral:rRNA from 1 species
GACGAACGCUGGCGGCGUGCAUAAUACAUGCCAGUAGAACGCUGAAGGAGGAGUUUGCUUCUCUGGAUGAGUUGCGAACGGGUGAGUAACGCGUAGGUAACCUGCCUGGUAGCGGGGGAUAACUAUUGGAAACGAUAGCUAAUACCGCAUAAGAGUUGAUGUUGCAUGCUAUUUGUUUAAAAGGUGCAAUUGCAUCACUACCAGAUGGACCUGCGUUGUAUUAGCUAGUUGGUGGGGUAACGGCUCACCAAGGCGACGAUACAUAGCCGACCUGAGAGGGUGAUCGGCCACACUGGGACUGAGACACGGCCCAGACUCCUACGGGAGGCAGCAGUAGGGAAUCUUCGGCAAUGGACGGAAGUCUGACCGAGCAACGCAGCGGGAGUGAAGAAGGUUUUCGGAUCGUAAAGCUCUGUUGUAAGAGAAGAACGAGUGUGAGAGUGGAAAGGUCACACUGUGACGGUAUCUUACCAGAAAGGGACGGCUAACUACGUG